CGGUGCCGGAGUGAAGAUGUUAAGUUCACUGCCUGGGGAGUACGGUCGCAAGGCUGAAACUUAAAGGAAUUGGCGGGGGAGCACUGCAACGGGAGGAGCGUGCGGUUUAAUUGGAUUCAACGCCGGAAAACUCACCAGGGCCGACUGUUAUAUGAAGACCAGCGUAAUGAGCUUGUCGGAUUUUCAGAGAGGUGGUGCAUGGCCGUCGUCAGUUCGUACUGUAAAGCGUUCUGUUAAGUCAGAUAACGAACGAGACCCUCAUCUCUAUUUGCUACCUGGUUCUCCGGAAUCAGCGCACUAUAGGGAGACCGCUGGUGUGAAACCAGAGGAAGGGGAGGGCAACGACAGGUCAGUAUGCCCCGAAUGUCUUGGGCUACACGCGCGCUACAAAGGACAGGACAAUGGGAUGCUAGGCCGAGAGGCAUUCAAGCUAACCCGAAACCUGUUCAUAGUUCGGAUUGAGGGCUGUAACUCGCCCUCAUGAAGCUGGAUUCCGUAGUAAUCGUGUUUCAAUAUAGCACGGUGAAUAUGCCCCUGCUCCUUGCACACACCGCCCGUCAAACCAUCUUAGUUGGGGGUGGGUGAGGCUGCGCUUUAUGGCGUAUUCGAGCCUGCCUUCGACAAGGAGGGUUAAGUCGUAACAAGGUAUC
rnacentral:rRNA from 1 species